rnacentral:lncRNA from 1 species
ACAUUAAAAAACAAAACAAAAUAAAACACAAAAACAAAAAUAAAAAACCGUUGAGACUUUGAAGACAGCAAUGACGGAGGCUAAGACCAGGCCUUGUCUUCCUAGUGCCAGGCCCCUUGCAUGGAUCCAACCCUGGUGACUAAUGACAACGUCCCUCCUGGAGUUCUGCUGACUAUAGGAGAGAUGACACCAGGUCAGUGGGUUCCGAGGCAUCCUUGGCUGCAUCUUUGCCGGGGAGGAAGGAGCACUUCCCAAGGCCAGUGGCCCAGGUGUGGCUACUCGUGGGGCCUCCUCACUGCUCUGUCUGGUCCACAACACAGCUGCUCCAACAUCCUUGAGCUGGCAGGAAUCAAUUGUAUCUCUAUGGGUCUACACUUCAGGUGCAUCUCCAUGCAAGAGUCCUCUGCGGCACCAUCAUCAGCCUUCUCCAGGCAAAUGUCUAUUUUUACUGAGGUGCAAAACAGCCCAGUCAAAGACAGCCUGGAAAUGUUCAAUACCUUCUGCUACAUUGAAAGCACACACAGUAACCUUUCUGACCAUAUCAAAGCUUUUCCUGAUGUGAAUUGUGUGUAAAAACUGUGGGUUAUGGUCUUAAGUUAUGCAUAAGGCCAAGAGAAAGACCAGAAAUGAAACAGAAGACAGACAGAUAAACAGCAGAGACAGAGCACCGGCAAAGACAGAAAGCCCCGGAGCCCCACUGAAAUGAUCAAGGAAAGACAGAGAGACUUGGAGAACGACCCCCAGGACAGGUCCCCCUUGCCUGGUCGCUCCUCCUUGGAGGAAGUGGAGAGUUCUCUGUGGAGCCGCAUUCCACAUCACGUUUUCUCCUUGGGCUUCUAAGAUGAGAAAUCUUUAAUGGGUCUUGAUUGUUUUCAGCAAAGGUCAAUAAACUUUUCUUCAAAUUCCUGAGAAUAAAUACCGGAGGCUUUG